AUCCAGAUGACCAGUCCCACAUAGGACGAAAUGCGCAUCCUGGAA
rnacentral:hammerhead_ribozyme from 1 species